CGAACGGAACUCUUCGGAGGGAAGUUCGUGGAACGAGCGGCGGACGGGUGAGUAACACGUAGGCAACCUGCCUGUAAGACUGGGAUAACUCGNGGAAACGCGAGCUAAUACCGGAUAACACUUUNUAUCACUGAUGGAAAGUUGAAAGGCGGCUUNNCCUGUCACUUACAGAUGGGCCUGCGGCGCNUUANCUAGUUGGUGAGGUAACGGCUCACCAAGGCGACGAUGCGUAGCCGACCUGAGAGGGUGAUCGGCCACACUGGGACUGAGACACGGCCCAGACUCCUACGGGAGGCAGCAGUAGGGAAUCUUCCGCAAUGGACGAAAGUCUGACGGAGCAACGCCGCGUGAGUGAUGAAGGUUUUCGGAUCGUAAAACUCUGUUGUCAGGGAAGAACAAGUACGAUAGUAACUGAUCGUACCUUGACGGUACCUGACCAGAAAGCCACGGCUAACUACGUGCCAGCAGCCGCGGUAAUACGUAGGUGGCAAGCGUUGUCCGGAAUUAUUGGGCGUAAAGCGCUCGCAGGCGGUUCUUUAAGUCUGAUGUGAAAUCUUGCGGCUCAACCGCAAACGUGCAUUGGAAACUGGAGGACUUGAGUGCAGAAGAGGAGAGUGGAAUUCCACGUGUAGCGGUGAAAUGCGUAGAGAUGUGGAGGAACACCAGUGGCGAAGGCGACUCUCUGGUCUGUAACUGACGCUGAGGAGCGAAAGCGUGGGGAGCGAACAGGAUUAGAUACCCUGGUAGUCCACGCCGUAAACGA
rnacentral:rRNA from 1 species